rnacentral:misc_RNA from 1 species
UUGAUUCAAUUUAAUUUAGACUCAGAUGUCACCGUAAAACAGCGUUUUAAGGUCCUCUGGCGGGCGCUCUUCAGCUGAAGCCGACGGCGCGAGACACCGGCCCGCCAAAGCAACAGGUUAUAAUAAACAAGGGUGGGAGUCGAGGCCCAAGGGCCCCAAAACUCGGUAAUGAUCCUUCCGCAGGUUCACCUACGGAAA